rnacentral:lncRNA from 1 species
GUCAUUUAGUUCAGCAUUAACUUUAGUAUGCAGAGAUGUUCUGACCACAUCUGAUGGUAAAGACUGGGCUGUUCUCACAUCUUUCCAGGAUGCCAUCCAUAGUGAUCCUUCAUGUGUAGAUUCAGCACAUCUAUGCAGGUUGCUCACAAUGUAUCGGGAGGGAGCUUCCCAUGCGCACUGGUAAUGUUUGAGAACUGUUUUUGGAGUCAAGAAAGAAGAAUUUGGGGAUUCAGAGGCCAAGGAGAUGGACAAGGGAAGCAUCUCCAAAAGAUCACCUAUGGACCAAGAGGAGAUCGUAUCUGUUUUAAGGAGCCAUGUCUAAGGAAUCCUUGCACGUAUGGAAGAAUUAUAUCUCUCAACCUCCUCCAUAGAGGCCCACCAUGGACUGAGACUUGAGGUCCCACAUGGUACAGACUUUGGGGGCCAAGAAACAAGAAAGGGACAUGGUCAUGAAGACUUCUCAUUGAGCGAGUGGCCAGAAGCAUCUCAGUGGUCAAGUAGAGCAAAGGUAGGUUCU